ACUAGAAAGAAAAUUCUUACUUGUUUUAUCUAGAACCAUGAAAAAGAAGUGGUAUCACAAAUCUGCUUAGUUUUUUUGGACUUGAAGCGUAGAGUCGAAGGCUUUUGAGAUUCCACAAUGCUUGGGAGAAAAUGUGGAUGUCUCCAGGGAGGCCAUACCUAAUGAGGAGCUCCCAACAAAUGGCAACUGAUGUUACCUACAACCGAAUACGUCAAGAAGCCUCUGUAUGGGUUGGAGGAGUCUUGCCUGUGAAAUGUUUCCAAGAGUACAAGCCCAGUAGCAGCACUGGUUGCAAAAGAGGAGCUUUGCCCAUGCGUUCUGCCACCUUCUGCCAGGAAUUACACCUGUCCCAUCCCGUCGUCUCCUGAAUGUCCAGAGACAGGGGUCUCCCCGUGUUGUCCAGAACGGUCUUGAACUCCUGGUCUUCAAGCAAUCUUCCUGCCUUGGUCUCUCAAAGUGCUGGGAUUACAAGUGUGAGCCACCAUACCCGGUCAUAGCGCUCUUAUAAAAUGCAUCAUCACAUUUAUUUUAUAAAUUCAGAAACAAAAGUCUGUAUAGAGAAGUUUUGAAGUUACUAGGGACCUGAAAAUCAUACUGAAGAUGUCUGCAACUAAAAACUCGAAGAGUUCCGAGGCUAGAGGGGUCAGGAGAUGAAUAAAAACGUUAGCCCCAGCUGAUCACAAUGAGGUUAAUCACAAUACUAAUUAAAAAUACUACAGAUCCUAGGACAAUGGUCAGAAGAGUGACUAUACUUUCCUGUUUGCCCUUGGAAAAUCGAGGGCUGACUUUUCUACGUGCUCAGAUAACCUAAAUUGAUAGAGAGAAAGCUAGCAGAGGAUAAGAUAAACUAGUUAACUGUAAAUAAGAUUUUGCUGUUGGAGAAUCUUCUUGUUGCUCUGGUUUUAGAUAGCGGAGGAAGCCAAAAAAUAUCUGCUUUAAGUUACCAGGAGUUGAAGUUCAUCCCUGCUGAAGUUAACAGGUUGCUUCCCUUUUUCUGGUGUAUUCUUACUUUACUGGCAAAGAGAAAAUAAAUUAAUACCUUAUUGUUAAAA
rnacentral:lncRNA from 1 species